GUGUGUGUGUGUAUGCGUGUGUCAGUCAGAGAGAGGGUAUACAGUAUAAAGCUCUUAAGCCAUGUAAAAUAAUGUUACCAUACAGGAUAGGUAUAUCACCUCAAUACUUUAUUAAAUAAUAAACAUCAUCAUAAUGAAACAAGGAAACUAAAAAUUGCAUUCUAACACAUGACAAACAAGUUCCAUAGUUUUCAUGUUGAAGAUAUCCCUAACAACAGUACUAGAAAUACAUGUGGUGGCUUUACAAAAGUCACUCUGGGCUCACUUCAUUUUUAGUUUCUUCCAAUGCCAUUGUCAGUGCCCAUGGGCAGGUAACCAUGGAAACCUGGGGUAAGGGUGGCAUCGACCAUGAGAGACUGAAAGAUUACAGGUCUGUGAGAGACUGAAGGAUUACAGGUCUGUGAGAGACUGAAGGAUUACAGGUCUGUGAGAGACUGAAGGAUUACAGGUCUGUGAGAGACUGAAGGAUUACAGGUUUGUGAGAGACUGAAGGAUUACAGGUCUGUGAGAGACUGAAGGAUUACAGGUCUGUGAGAGACUGAAGGAUUACAGGUCUGUGAGAGACUGAAGGAUUACAGGUCUGUGAGAGACUGAGUCAAGUCUUUUUGUUUAGGUUUUGUUCUAAGGCUAUUUUCCUUUCAUAGAUUAUCAAACGGAAGUAUAAUGCAGCCUUGGAAAUAAUCUGAGACGUCGAUAAAAUGCAGUGCUGCUGGUUAACACGUACAGUCACUGAGGGUGAGGACCAGAGCUGCUUGUUCAGGACUGCCAGUGACUAUCCGAUCUCUACAAUGACUUCCUUUGUGCCCCAAUUCAUCACAUUGUUGCAUUGAUGAGGCUUUACCAUUGAUCCCGUUUUUUUAUUUUCUUAUUUAACUAGACAAGUCAGUUAAGAACAAAUUCUUAUUUACAACGACGGCCUGCCCCGGUCAAACCCAGACGACAAAGGGCCAAUUUUGAAAUGGCCCUAUUGGACUACCAAUCACAGCCGGUGUGAUUCAACCUGGAUUCAAACCAGGGACUGUAGUGACACCUCUUGCACUGAGAUGCAGUGCCUUAGACCACUGCGCCUCUCGGGAGCCCAUUGAUGAGGCUUCACCAUUGAUUCAUCAUUUAAUAUACACACGGCAGCCUUUACAACAUGGCCAUGCUUUUGUCUCUGUGAUGUCGCCGUGAGAAGAUUUACCCAGCCCCUGUUUCACAAGAUCCUCAGAGGAAGAUUUACCCAGCCCCUGUUUAACAAGAUCCUCAUCAAAGGAAGUGAGACAAGCACGAAUUUGAGACAAUUCCUUCCUAUAGAAGGCUAGGCAUGCAUCCCAAAUGGCACCCUAUUCCCCAUAGUGUCAUGGUCAAAAGUAGUGCACUAUAUAGGGAAUAGGGUUCCAUAGGGCUCUGGUCUAAAGUAGUGCACAAUAUAGGGAAUAGGGUUCCAUAGGGCUCUGGUCAAAAGUAGUGCACUAUAUAGGGAAUAGGGUUCUAUAGGGCUCUGGUCAAAAGUAGUGCACAAUAUAGGGAAUAGGGUUCCAUAGGGCUCUGGUCAAAAGUAGUGCACAAUAUAGGGAAUAGAGUGCCAUUUAGGAUACAUACCCAGCCUCUUAAACUCAUCAUCCUCCCUCCUGACCCAUCUAACUAUCACAAUGACACCAAUUAUAGCAGAACUUUUAUCACAUCUACCAUGUUGAGACGGUGUGGUGUCAAUAGCUGUGUCUGGGUUCUAGUCAGAGCACUGAGACAUAGCUGAGACAUUGCUGAGACAUAGCGGUGGUGGAAACAUGUGACAAACUAGGUCAUCAUUUCUCACAUGAUUUCAGACGCUUCAGGAUGUUAAAGACAAAGGUUCAUCAAAACAAAAUGAGAGUACCGGUACUGUAGAUUCUCUGUCAUUCAGUAAGAUAACAUCCACAAUGACAAUAAUACUUUAAAGUUGCAGUUAUAAUUAUAACAGUCCUCAUGACAUAAUUACAAACUAAUAGUGUUUGACAUGAGAUCUUCUACCGCGACUAGGGAUGAACUGAUUUAAGUUAAGGAAAUAAAAUGCAAUAGAAAACACAUCAACGUUGUGCUGAUCAAAACAAAAUGAAGCUUAGAUUUGAUCAGGUCAAAGCGUUGCCCGGCGAUAGCAGACACCCGCAUAGAGGAUGUUUUGGAGGUGUCGGAGGUGGAACUGCGUUGGAGCUGUCAAAUCGCUGAGCAGCUGCUCUUGCGAAGCCACAUCAGCCCCACUCACUUUAGAAUUUCAGAACGAGAAAAGUAUAGGCUAUAUAGAAAUAAUUACACAGAGUGGCGCAGCGGUCUAAGGCACCGCAUCUCAGUGCUAGAGGCGUCACUACAGACCCUGGUUCGAUUCCAGGCUGUAUCACAACUGGUUGUGAUUGGGAGUCCCAUAGGGUGGCGCACAAUUGGCCCAGCAUUGACCUGGUUUGGCCUAGUUAAAUAAAGGUAAAAUAAAUAAAAUAUAAAUAAUGAAGGUUUCUAUCAUCCUAAUGGAGGAGUAGAUUACAUCUAUCAUCUAUCAUCCUAAUGGAGGUGUAGAUUACAUCUAUCAUCUAUCAUCCUAAUGGAGGUGUAGAUUACAUCUAUCAUCUAUCAUCCUAACUGAGGUGUAGAUUACAUCUAUCAUCCUAAUAGAGGAGUAGAUUACAUCUAUCAUCUAUCAUCCUAAUGGAGGUGUAGAUUACAUCUAUCAUCUAUCAUCCUAAUUGAGGUGUAGAUUACAUCUAUCAUCUAUCAUCCUAACUGAGGUGUAGAUUACAUCUCACAUUUCUGUGUUCCAACAAGGCCACAUUUGUGUUAAUGCGACUCCGUGCAAACAAUGGCAAUGUCCUCUUUAGGUAUAAUGCCGGGAGCCAUUUGUGUAUUUGACAGCACUAACGCAGUUCCACCGUCAAAACACCCGCUAUGCAGAUGUUGGCUGAAGCUGAUCUGACUGAAUAGAGCACCUAGUCUAUCUAUCUGGCAUGCACACCACCACUGUAGCUAGACAUGACGUGUGGGUUUUUAAAAACGUUUUCCUGUCGUCGGUUCAUUUGGUCACACAGCAACAUAUUUACACCGUACACUUUUCUUCUUCCUUUAAAAGGGAUAGUUCAAACCAAUUUGUCAUUUUGUAACUUGAACUAUAACUUUAAGUCUGCACUUUAGACAGACUGUUAUAGGUGUGUCCAUACAUACUGUAGCAGCAAAAACACAACUCACAGAGCACUGGUGACAUAGACUUCCUUCACCUCAUAUCCCCCAAAACCAAAGCUCACGUUAGGCCAAACUAAGGUCUGCCCCAGCUCAAAUAUUCUGGAAGGUACAAUAGUCUUCACUUGAAUUCCAUUUCCCAUUCAUGUAAUUCAUAGAAUAGACGUAGGGUCCAAGUCUCCUGUUUUCUUCCUGGUUGAGGCUCCAUAUUAAGUCCAUUUGUAGUGAAGGAGUUCAACCGAGUUCCAGGGUACUAAUGAGGUGUUUGAUUGGACAGAUAGUCACAGUUUCUGUUGAGUAGUAUGAUAUGAUUGGUUGAAAACAGAGUGAAAGGUCCCGUUUAGGAAUAAGAUUGGAGGAACAGUGAAUUGAUCCCACUCAAGAUUUUGUUUGGGUCGGUGGAGGUAAAUUAGAUAAGGGGUGAUCUUCUGAAGGUGAGGGUGGACAGGGUUAUGAUCCAGCUCAAGGUUUUGUUUGGGUCGGUGGAGGUAAAUUAGAUAAGGGGUGAUCUUCUGAAGGUGAGGGUGGACAGGGUUAUGAUCCAGCUCAAGGUUUUGUUUGGGUCGGUGGAGGUAAAUUAGAUAAGGGGUGAUCUUCUGAAGGUGAGGGUGGACAGGGUCAAGGUGGCAGUCACAUUAUAAUGACAUAAUAACAGAAUUAAACUGAAGCGUCUACAGGGCCUAUGUGUCUCACCUCUAUAACUCCAUAAACUACCGCCACUCAGUGAGCUUGUGGUUGUCAUGCACAACAGGGUAGUCCCAUAGCUGUAAACUGUACGGGACGGAUCGGGAUUUGACUCUAAGGUCAUACACGGUCAUGAAACAUCAUUUUACGAUUUCCCUGAAAGAUGCAAUAAUAUAACAUUAGAAGUACAGGAUUUAACUAGAAGUCUCCUGGUGGAAGAAAAACUCUUCCAAUACUAUGAUCCACAUGUAAUCCCUAUCACCCCUACAGACAGUAUACAACCUAAUCCCUAUCACCCCUACAGACAGUAUAGUAUACAACCUAAUCCCCAUCACCCCUACAGACAG
rnacentral:lncRNA from 1 species